AUCGGGGUUGCGGACAGUGCCUGGUGGGUAGUUUGACUGGGGCGGUCUCCUCCCAAAGAGUAACGGAGGAGCACGAAGGUGGGCUAAUCACGGUUGGACAUCGUGAGGUUAGUGCAAUGGCAUAAGCCCGCUUGACUGCGAGAAUGACAAUUCGAGCAGGUGCGAAAGCAGGUCAUAGUGAUCCGGUGGUUCUGAAUGGAAGGGCCAUCGCUCAACGGAUAAAAGGUACUCCGGGGAUAACAGGCUGAUACCGCCCAAGAGUUCAUAUCGACGGCGGUGUUUGGCACCUCGAUGUCGGCUCAUCACAUCCUGGGGCUGAAGUCGGUCCCAAGGGUAUGGCUGUUCGCCAUUUAAAGUGGUACGCGAGCUGGGUUUAGAACGUCGUGAGACAGUUCGGUCCCUAUCUGCCGUGGGCGUUGGAAGAUUGAAGGGGGCUGCUCCUAGUACGAGAGGACCGGAGUGGACGAACCUCUGGUGUUCGGGUUGUGUCGCCAGACGCAUUGCCCGGUAGCUAAGUUCGGAAUCGAUAACCGCUGAAAGCAUCUAAGCGGGAAGCGAGCCCUGAGAUGAGUCUUCCCUGAUACUUUAAGUAUCCUAAAGGGUUGUCGGAGACUACGACGUUGAUAGGUCAGGUGUGUAAGUGCUGUGAGGCAUUGAGCUAACUGAUACUAAUUGCCCGUGAGGCUUAACCAU
rnacentral:rRNA from 1 species